GGGCGGAAUUUGGGGAAUUUUUGGGGUAAAAAAGGUGAGAUUUGGGUGCGCUGCCUUGCAGAAGCCGGGGCUGCUGGGGGAGUCGCCGUUGGCUGCGCUGCCCCACGGCGCCGUGGGGAUGGCGACGCCGAGCGCCGCGCCGCUGCUGGGGGACCCCGCCACCGGACCUUCCCAACCCAUUCUGUGACCUUCCAGGACCUUCCCAACCCAACCCAAUCCGUGGCGCGGUGACCUUUUCAGGACCUUCCCAACCCGUGGCGUGGUGACCUUCCAGGACCUUCCCAACCCAACCCGUGGCGCGGUGACCUUCCAGGACCUUCCCAACCCAAUCCAUGGCACUAUGUGCUUCCAGGACCUUCCCAACCCAACCCGUGGCGCGGUGACCUUCCAGGACCUUCCCAACCCAUUCUGUGACCUUCCAUGACCUUCCCAACCCAUUCUGUGACCUUCCACGACUUUCCCAACCCAACCUGUGGCGCGGUGACCUGCCAGGACCUUCCCAACCCAACCCGUGGCGUGGUGACCUUCCAGGACUUUCCCAACCCAUUCUGUGACCUUCCAGGACUUUCGCAACCCAUUCUGUGACCUUCCAGGACCUUCCCAACCCAACCUGUGGCACUGUGACCUUCCCAACCCAACCUGUGGCGUGGUGACCUUCCAGGACCUUCCCAACCCAUUCUGUGACCUUCCAGGACCUUCCCAACCCAUUCUGUGACCUUCCAGGACCUUUCCAACCCAUUCUGUGACCUUCCAGAACCCUUCCAA